rnacentral:rRNA from 1 species
AUACGGAGGACGCGAGCGUUAUCCGGAUUCAUUGGGUUUAAAGGGUGCGCAGGCGGCCGUGCAAGUCAGCGGUGAAAGCCCGGGGCUCAACCCCGGAAGUGCCGUUGAUACUGCAUGGCUGGAAUGCGGUCGAGGCGGGCGGAACGUGGCGUGUAGCGGGGAAAUGCGUAGAUAUGCCACAGAACGCCGAGAGCGGAGGCAGCUGGCCAGGCCUGCAUUGACGCUCGGGCACGAAAGCGUGGGGAUCGAACAGGAUUAGAUACCCUGGUAGUCCACGCCGUAAACGAUGGGCGCUCGUCGUCGGCGGCAGACAGUCGGCGGCCAAGCGAAAGCGAUAAGCGCCCCACCUGGGGAGUACGGCCGCAAGGCUGAAACUCAAAUGAAUUGGCGGGG